CUGUGUGGUUUCCUGGAGAGUCCAGGAUGUGGACUUGAAACUCUGAGUCCAUUGACUGCAGCAGAACAAUGUUCACAUUUCAAACAGUGAGACUCAACGUAUGGCCCGCGGCCCACACGCGGCCUGACUACCUUUCCUGAUUCAGAGAGAGGGGACCCUGAUUAACUGUGUAGCUUCUUCCUCACAGUUCUAAGUAUCAGACACAACAAUGAA